CUUUAUACUCUUUAUAUCUUUCUAGGUUAAUGCCGAUCAAACAAGGAAAGGAGAGUUUCUGGUUCGAGGUCCAAGCAAUUUUGUUCAAUUGAUCAGCUGAAGGAGGAAAGGAAGGAGACUAUUGAGGGUUUCAGUAUGAUUGGAAGACUCAAUUGACUACUUGCUACUGAGGUGGAGGGAUCACAAUCUGACCAAUUAUCUGACCCAUCGAUGACCCUAUGGUUAUCCCACAGCCCUAUUCUUGUCUAAUUUUGGCAAAUCUCACAUCUAAUGGAUUUUUUUUUUCCUGUGCUGCGAUAUAAGUUUUAGUAGGAUUUGCAGCAAGAAGUGGGACCUGGUGGCUGGCCUGAAGUACUGUUUGGCCCAGGUUCACAGUGGCUGGAACAGUUACAGAGAGCCUGCAGAAAUCCAUUCCCAAUGGUAUAGGUUUUCUUUUCUCCCAUCAAAUUGGAUUAUAUUUUCUUUCUCUUUGUGGGUGUCUUUCCCUGUUGAAGUUUAUCAAACCUGAACAGUGGCCAGGGAAAAGCAAAAGAAAGGGACGAGUUUGAUUGAAUGAUUCAUUCCAGCCAAUCAAAGGCCAUAAUUUAAUUUGCCAUCGUCCUGUGCUGGAUGGUAUGGUUUCCCAUAAUAGGGUUUUUGAUUUCUUAAAGACACGCUUCCUUUUGAACUUCUUUUUUGUUCCAAGUAUUUUGGCAAAUCUAAGCUUUUAAUGCCAACAGGGAUGCUUCACUUGUAACUUUUCAUUUUGGAGUAAUUUGCUAAAAAACCCAUAUUUUCUUUUUUUUCAUGAUAAAUGCAAUGCCCAUCGAGAAGUUCACCGUGACAAGGCAUAAAGAGCGAUAUGCUUAGCCUAUUUAAUGUAGAAGCCUCUUGCACUUGUAAGAAAGCCUCUCUAUAUGCACAUAGAGGCAUACUACAUUGAAUACUUGAAAGCAGAACCCAAUUAUUAAUUCCAAUCUAUGGUUCCAAUUAUGGAUCGUCCCGUAGGUGAUUAUGUUCCUGGUUUGAUUCUUAAUGUCAAAUUAUUAAUUUCUUGGAUUCAUCAAAUGCGUAUGGACUUAUAGGUUUGGCAUCACUUUUUAGAUAUGGUAUAAUUUGAUGGUGGAGUUGAUCAAAUGUUACCAUGCUUCUGCGGACUGUGAAUUUCAAGGUCAGAGCAAUUUCAUUCCAUCAAUCGGCUGAAGAAGAAGGCAGGAGGCAAUUGAGGGUUUCAGUAUGAUUGGAAGACUCAAUUGACUGCUUGCUUCUGAGGCGGAGGGAUCACAAUCUGACCAAUUCUUUCUUUGUUUCCUUUCUUGUUCUUAUUGACUUUUUUCUGUUUUGUUUUGUUCUGUUCAACUCUUAAAUGCAUUUCUAUUCUCUCUUGUACAGGCUAUAUUUCCCUUGCAUAGGCUUAUCACUUUUUGUACUUUGUCUCUUUUCUCUAUGUAUAUUGAAAAUUAUAAUUUCUGCCAUGUUUUUUUAUUUUUUUGCAGCUGGCUCUUAAGUAUAGAACAACUUUAGUUUUAUCUUUGGUGUUGUUCAGUUUUAAGCCUGCAAAAUUGUUGAAAUGAGUUAAUUGUAAUAUAGAACAACUCCUUUCUGCUUUCUCUAUAUGUUGCUUACUCUUAUGUGUUUUUUUUUUUUAAAAUCAUUGUAGGCUAUUCUUCAACAUAUAUAAUGUAGAUGUAGAAGAUGUGCUUUCCGGAAUAUCACUUUUAAGUUUAGAAUGGGUCAAAUUUGAGUUUGAUUCCUCUGGUUUUAGUUUCUUUUUCUUUUUUUUUUUCAGUUCCAAUUUUUGAUUGCAUUCCAUUUCUGUCUUGUAUAGGCUUAUCGCUAUUUAUAGUUUGCAUCCCCUUUCUCUAUGUAUUUUGAAAAUCAGAACUUCACUUUUUUUGGCGUGGAUUUGUUGACUCGUUCACGUUUUUCAUUUUGGCAACUGACGCUAAAUAUGGAAGGACUUCAAUUUUAUUGUUGAAAUGAAUUAAUUGUUUAUUAGCUCUGAUUUCUACUUUCGCGCUAUUUGUUACUAGCAGUUAGUUGUAGUCUUAGUUGGGCUAUGGCACUUGACCUACUAAUACACAGUACUUGUUGUAUGUUGCUUCAUGUUGCGUAUUGUUUUAUAUGGGCAAUUUUUAAUUGCUAAUGACUGGAAACAAGUUUUACUUUUUUACUGACAUAACUCAGUUUUUAAGUAGGUGUUAAAUUUUAUACAUAAGAAAUCUGUAGGAGUAGUUUUUGAUGGACCAACGUAUUGUGUUGCAGAAUUGCUGUGGCAUGUGGUGGACCAUAUUUCCGUUUGAGCUAGAACAAUUUCCAAUCCAGUUAUUUCCAUUUGUAACAGAAUCCAGAAGCGGCUGAUUUAUUAUUUUAGUCUUCUUCUUUUAGAGUUUGUUUAUCAAAUAUUUUGUUUUAAAUGGGAACAAAAUGAGAAACAAGGAAUGUGGAAUGUUGAUGCGGUCACCAAUCA